rnacentral:tRNA from 1 species
GACUGCUUAGCGAAACGGUAUCGCAUCAUGUUCCGGCAAAGGAACUUAUGAAGAUUACGGGUUUAAUUCCUGUAGUAGUCU